AACGAACGCUGGCGGCAUGCCUAACACAUGCAAGUCGAACGAACCCUUCGGGGUUAGUGGCGCACGGGUGCGUAACGCGUGGGAACCUGCCUUUAGGUUCGGAAUAACUCAGAGAAAUUUGAGCUAAUACCGGAUAAUGUCUUCGGACCAAAGAUUUAUCGCCUUUAGAUGGGCCCGCGUUAGAUUAGAUAGUUGGUGGGGUAACGGCCUACCAAGUCGACGAUCUAUAGCUGGUCUGAGAGGAUGAUCAGCCACACUGGGACUGAGACACGGCCCAGACUCCUACGGGAGGCAGCAGUGGGGAAUAUUGGACAAUGGGCGAAAGCCUGAUCCAGCAAUGCCGCGUGAGUGAUGAAGGCCUUAGGGUUGUAAAGCUCUUUUACUAGGGAUGAUAAUGACAGUACCUAGAGAAUGAAGCUCCGCUAACU
rnacentral:rRNA from 1 species